UAAACAUGAAAUAUCAGUGUGUGACCUUAUGGUACUCAUAAGUCACAUAAACCUGACAGUGUCCUCACAAGUAGCAUUAAAUUCAGGUUUGACCAAAAUUUCACCCUAGCCAAAAUCUCAACAGAUGGGCGUGUUCCUGGAAGCAUGGGUCAAACUUUGUGUGAUUCCCAUGCCUCUAGGACCUUCAGAAAGGCACGUUCCCAUUUGUCACAUUUUUGUCAUAGGUCCUGAUAUUUCACGAAAACACGUAUGUGUGUGUGUGUGUGUGUGUUUGUUUACUGCAUUUCCAGCAGUAGGCCAGCAGGUCCUGCGUCAUGCAGUGAUGUGAAACCUUUGACAGCAUUAAAACAAGAGCUUUAAUUUAGUUGUUCAGUAAAUUGUCCUUGAAAUGUUAUCAGUUUAUAUUGGUAAGCUUUUUUGACAUUUUGAUCACAGAUUGUUUUAGGGAACAAGGGAUAUCUUCAGUAUGAAGAAAGAUGAGGUUUCCUGCUAGGGCUUUACAGAGGUGAUACUGUGCAUAGAUAAGUUCUGUAUUUAGCGAAGAACAUUAGUCAUUACUUAUUUCUGUCCAUGACACACUUCUUGCCCUUACAAUAGUGUGACUUUGUUUUAAUUUUCUGGGGGACUGGUGUACUGGUGUACUACACUCGCACCAGAUUGCCUAUAAGGAUGGGUGUUUAUUAUCGCACAGAAAACAGUUAAUUUACAUGAUCACACUCUGUGUACUUGACAAAAGUGACAAGGUUAAUGUAAAUGAUGAAUAUUUAUGUCUCAAUGGGAGAUUUAUUGUAAACUUAAUUUCUCUUAUUUAAAUUGUCUCUUAACUAUUGUGUUUACACAUUUUCAAACUGUAGAACUAGAUCUCGGUUUGUGUAAAUAUAAGAUUUUUUUUCACAAUUUUCAGCUUCCUGAUCCUCCUAAUAUUAGCAGGAGACUUUUUUUAUUGUCCUCUUGGCAAAAUUUCAUUUAUGAAGUAGAGACUUGAGAAUUAAAAGGGUCUUGCCAAAAGAAAAGAGCAUUUAGAUGUUUGUCACUCCUAUUCAGGGUGAUCUUGUAAGAAAAUAAAUUUUACUUAGCUUCACAAAAAUAGUGAAGCUCCUACAAAAUGUAUACAUAAUUUCUAAGCUCAAUACAUUUUGAACUAAUUAUGUAAAAAAAAAAUACAUAAAUAAAACAGGCCUGUUAGUUCAAAGAAGGUGUGUUUAAAAGCCCCGUACUACUUGAACAGUUUCACUGCACCUCCCUCAAAGUGGUAUUUUCCAUCUCUGCUCUGUAAUGCAGGAAGUACUCAUGCAUGGGUGUCAUUUCUCACAGAUGAGUUGUUCCCAGUUCCAGUUGAGUGCUCGUAAGUGGGUCACUGCCUCAGCCUGUGCUGCUGUGUGCAUCCAUUAAAUUAAAGGAAACUCAUCCAAACCUACAAACAUAAAAAGGCAUCCCUCCUGCACACCCUGUAAAGAGUGCUAAGGAAUACAGCUCUACCAAACAAGGAAAGGAAAGGAAAGGAAGAAAUGUAUAGUCAUUUUUAAAGAUUAAAAUCACAACGUGGCUUAAUGAAGAGCAUGGAGCAGUUUCUUAUCAUUGUGCUUGUGGCAGGGGGAAUUCAUGUAGCAGGAAUUUUACCAUUGAUGGGUGGUGUUCUCUCAGCACUGAUAAUUUUCUUAGUUGUGUGUGUAGCAGUCAUCUUUGCUUGGAGAAAAAAACAAAACAACAAACCUACAAAACAUGAAGAGGAACAUGACCAAGCAAUAACGUAUGCUGAUGUCAGGUUCACUCAACAGCAAGGGAGGCAAGUUGCGCAAACAGAGGAGAUAGAGGUGGAGGCAGAGUAUGCCCAUGUCAAUUCUUCAAAGUGACCUUGGCAGACUGAACCAACAGGAGAUGAUUGUUUGUUUGCCAAGGUUCAUAAAAUCAAGGGAUUUCAGUGAAAUCAAUGCUUUUACACAGACUGCACCACUGAAGGUCCACCGAGGGAGGAGGUGAUGUCAAGAUGCUCCAAGAUGAGGUCUUUCAUAUAAUGUAAUGUCACAUCACACAAAUCGUCAAAGCUCAUAAAAUCUUGUCUUUCUAACUUUCACUGUUUUUCCAAAUUACAGCAGGACAUAUGUGUAUCCUAUAUUAGGUUACCGCUAGGUUUGACUGCAAGUACUGUGAAUGUUUUUUUGUAAACAAAGGUUAUGACUGUAAUAUAACAUAACAUGAAUUUCAAUGCAAAAAUGUUUGGGCAGUGAUGAAACAUCCAGAUGCUAACAGCUUCUCCUGUAGUUGCAGAUAAUUUCCAGUGUAAACAAAGACACUUUCCUCACCUUUUUAAAUACAAAAUAUGGUUAAAUAUUUCUAUAUAGCACUAAAUGACCAUCUCAAGAAACAUUACACAUUAAAUCCUUAGAGUAUUACAGAUUUUAAUACUGUCAAACUACUUGUUAUAGUAGUAAUAACAUUGUUAAUAAUGUAUUGUCAUCAGUCUGGGAUCUAGGGAUGGCAAAUUUUCAACACUGGCAAUAACCUAGGAUAUAGUUUAACACAUACUUUAAAUGUUUUGACAGUUACCAGUGUAUUUACAAUCAGCCUCAGUACAAAUAUCAAGAAAAUGUUCAAAGUCAGAAUAACAGUUAUGCAGUUCAACUCUGCUUCUACAAUCACACAGUUGAUUUUUUUUUUGUUACAUUUGCAUGUUAGAGCUUCUUCUUUACUGCACUGUAACAAUAUAUUUGCAAAAUGGACUAACAUUUAAACAAUGAAUUUGCUCAUUAUAGACAUAUUUACAAUGAUUGACAUGCAUGACUGAAAGAUACUUGCUUGAAUGGUUAAUUUAUGAUGCCUUUAAUUAGCACUUUCUAAUAAUGUCACACUAUUAAGCAUUGGCAUUAGUGCUCAAUUCAUUAUUUAUAUGCCAUUACUCCUCCUUAGUAAUUGGUUCUGAGCCGCUUCUUGUCUGGAGUGCUGAUGGACAAGUUGAUGAUGUAAGGCUGGAGACUCUGCGGACUAACAUGUUCACAGAGCUGAUAUGAUAGGAAAAGAUGUUAGGGAUAGAAAGACACAAGAUGGAGCGUGGUGAUUACCUGGGACGGCCCCUAAAAGUAUCAGAUGGAAGAAGAAGAGGUAAUCCUGAGCUGUCCAGACAGUUUAUAAUAAAACAUCAGAGUUCAGGGUUAAACCUCAUCUUCUGUUUCUGUCCUCUUAUUUUACUGUCUUAUUUCCUAUAUGCUGUAUUGUAUAUAAAUGUAAUCAUGAACACAGACAAAUAUUGUACAAACUGCUUGUAUUAAAAAAAAAAAUGAAUUCAUUAAAAUAUGUGCUGUAGCCUGUUCAUCAGUCCAGAUUUAAAUAUACUCAAACAGAAGAAAAUAACAAAACUGAAUAAAAGAAUAAAAGUGAGG
ensembl:lncRNA